UACGGAGGGGGCCAGCGUUGCUCGGAAUUACUGGGCGUAAAGGGCUUGUAGGCGGUCUGAUAAGUCCUGUGUGAAAUCCCUUGGCUUAACCAAGGAACUGCGCCGGAUACUGUCAGACUAGAGGCCGGGAGAGGGAAGCGGAAUUCCCAGUGUAGCGGUGAAAUGCGUAGAUAUUGGGAGGAACACCGGUGGCGAAGGCGGCUUCCUGGACCGGUUCUGACGCUGCAGAGCGAAAGCUAGGGUAGCAAACAGG
rnacentral:rRNA from 1 species